UAAAGAAUAUUUGGUCGGAUUCGUCGUCAAAUUUUAUCGCGUAACCGUGAACGGUGCGCACGAAAUAUUUCAUCGGAGUAUAACAGCACGUUACUAGUUCGAAAAUCUAGUGUAUCUGAAACAGUGCUGCGAUCAUUGGAAGUGAAAAUUGCAUAUAUGAAGAUGGCUUGACAAAGUAAUUUUUAUCAAUUCUUUUAUCACCAAUAUUUAGUGGUUAAUUUGUGAGUUCGAAAUCUAAUUUGUGGUAAUUUGUGGUUAAGUGGUUUCCGAGAAAUUUUCAAAAAACUGAGUCAAGCCAUCUUGAAACAUGAUUUUUCUUUAAAUGAAUCGGACAACGAUGAUAUAUACAUCAAUCGAAAGCUCUUAAUUUGUGGUUCACGAAAAUGUAAUUUUUAACGUCAUAAUCACUAGUGUUUGUACAGAAAUUUGUGUUUUAUUGUUCACGUAGUUCUACGUUUUGUUUAUUUGUUGAUGACGCUGCUGUCCGCUAGUGGCGUUGGCUGUUUGCGGUGUUUGUCACUGCUAUACUGAGCGUAGCUCAACAGGUGCAGAAUGGAUAUGUGUAAAUUUGUUGUCAAAAAGGAUACCGAACCAGUAGGAAUGGCAAACAAUAAUUAUCACUUUUUCAUCACCUAGAUUCGGAGA